GGACCUGGGUGGCAGCUCUGCCCCCACAUUUUGGGAGGGUGUCGUGAGCUGGAAGAGGUGGCUUCCACAGCAGGGUACCCCAAGGAGCAGGCACCUUUCUCCUGACCAGCUUGCUCCGGCCGACGAGACCUGAUCGAUGAAUGAAGCCGGGGCCUGGCACGCUGUCAGGAGCAGGCUGCAUUGUGCAACAGUGCGUGAUGCAACUGAACUUUACAUAACCUGAUGCAACACCUAUGGCUGGAGUUUAAAGCAGCAGGUCCUGGAUGGCUGCUGUAUGGUGUACAUACCUCCUCCUGCAUGUACACAUGUGAGGUCAGCCGGUGGGAGUGGACAGCAGCACUGCUCCAGGCAGCUCAGGCUUUGCUCUUGGGUUUGAAAUCACUGCAAACAAACAAACAACUGUGGCUCGUGAGGGAGGAAGCUAAUCCUGGGCACUGCUGUCGCUGCCAAGUUUGCAUGGAAAAUGCCACCAGCAGGAGCCAAGCAGCAACCACUGAAACCGAACUGGGAGGGGACGGCGAUACAAGCUGGUAUCCCCUUCCUGACGUGACUCCUACCUGUGAGUCACCGUGGCCUCAGUACCUUUCCAGCCAUGCUGCUGCGCCCGCAGCUGGUGCUUGAGUGCCUGACUCUGGUGAGGUGAAGCCUCUUCCCUUUCAGCUUUCUGAGCCAGGCCCUCAUGAUGUAACACUGCAGGUGAAUUUCCACAGCUCUGCCAGAACACAGAGUGGGGCUGGGAGAUGGUAAAAAUGCCUUUCCCCAGUCUGGUGCCUGGACCGUCCUUCUAUCUCCCUUCCCAAAAGGUACCCUUUUAUCUGUUCCCCAUCCCACCCUCCAAAAGUGGUGCUCUGGGGCUGGAGAGACUGUGCUGGUGGUAAAGGGGGUUAUGGCAUGGCCCUUCAGGGCUGCAGCAACACCUCCAACCACUUACACACGACAGCCUGUGUGCCCGAGCUCCAGCCAGAGAGGAUUUACAACACAAAAGCAUCGGCUGAUGCGGAGAUCAACCGGUGCUGCAAUCGGGUCACAGAUACUCUAAAUCAAACCAGAUCUUUACAUCCUGGAGCUGCACAGCCUGCAGGGAGCAAAUAAAUGGUUAAGAAGACAGGCUGAAGUGCCAAACGAGAAAGCAAAGUUUGCUCCAUGCUCGUGGCCAGGCUGUAGUGGGAGAAGCUGCUGUGUGUAUGCAGCACGCGCUCAUCCGUGACCGUGUGGCUCUUCAUGUUAUGUCUGAGAAGGAAAGCAAAACAAGAAAUGGUGACCAGGGUGGGAUUAUAAUCCAGGAAUACCGUGACUGCUGAAAAACCGAGGAGGAAACCGCAGGCUAGUAGCUGCUGUUAAACUAACUGGUGGAACGCUUGCCGAGAUGGUGGAAAUUUUCCCAGCCCCUCUCUCCAUAAAGGCAGUGGUGGUAGUGAUGCAUUUGAGCUCCUGAAAAAUGCAAUAAAAACAAACGAAAAACA